CCGUCGGGGAAUCGAACCCCGGUCUCCCGCGUGACAGGCGGGGAUACUAACCACUAUACUAACGAGGAGUUGUUUUAUCGAUUUGGAAAAAGCUUUUUCGGUUUUAACAAAAACCAGUACAGGAAUCAGGCUUAUGUCUCCAUAAUGUGUUGAAAUGCGCACUCUUUCAGGCACAAGAUAAGGAGUAUAGAAAAUAUGGCGUUGGCCACCUCAGGAAGUAAAGUCCUUACGGCGUCAUGACGCUCGGUACAUUGUUCUCUGUUCACGUCAGCCUGUCCACAGAAUAGACACAGGAAAAUGUUGGGUUUAAAUUUUCAAAACCUCAAGAAAAGACUGAUUUACUCCCCGUCGGGGAAUCGAACCCCGGUCUCCCGCGUGACAGGCGGGGAUACUAACCACUAUACUAACGAGGAGACACUGUGAAGUCUUGGUAUAUGCCCUUGUUGCAGUCACUCACACCUCCUGACGUUGACACUGAGUUUGUCGCUGAGCUUCUGUAUCAGCAGGGAGAGCUCCUCAGUCGCUUGGGACUUCUCCUCCAGAAGCUCAUACCGAAGACUGGAAAUAUCCUGCUUGAUUUCUUUUAACUCACCUGGGGAAAAAAAAAGUCGAACACUUGCACAGGUGGAACGGAACGCGUGAUUUUUUUUUCUCGUGGCUAUUAAAGGGACGCCAUUUACCUUCGUUUACUUCAUCGUUCUCUUUGUCUACUUGUGCUUUCAGUACGUAGCGCUUGAUCAGACGUUUCAUUAUUUGCUGAAAUAAAAACUAGGCACAAUUACCCAUUUCAGCGAUGGACCCAUUGCAAGGAAUCUCGACUGGCAGCAGCCGAGUUGCGGGAAGCAGAGCUCCUUGCCUGAUAGCGUGUGGGCUGGUUCGGUACUCUACCAAAACUGUGCGAGUCAGCAAUGUGCAGGCUUGACUGGGUCCGACUGAAGAGGUUGAGCUGCAACCCAAAACGUAUUUUGUCACAAGUAAACGUUUCUCAUUGUCAAGAGAAAAUCGGGAGCGUUAUGUGCUACAGCUGAAGGAACAGUUUGAAAAGGCCACUUGAAUUUUUCCUGCUUAACACGGUCAAAUAGUCAGUUGGAGUUCUGAUUCUCCGAAACUGAUUAUCCCUUCUCCUUGGAAACAUGUCAAGUAAACUAUACUGUAAUGACCCUAAUUGUGAGUCUUACUUUGGAUGUUGCUCUGUAGCCUGUUCCUUAGAUGAGAGUAUUAUGGGUUUGAUAAGUCCUGGUGUAGGUGUGGCCUUAGGCUUAUCUCUGUAUUCUUCCUCCAGAGCUGGAAGUAAACAUGCCUGGUUCACGGGCCACGCUUACAGACCUUCAGAGGUAUUCAUAAAGGUGUGUCCCAUUACCCUGGAUUUGGAGUGGUCCAUUCCCAGCUCCACGUCCUGCCUCAUCCUGGGCCGGCGGUGACUGAGCAGGCCAGUCAGCCUCCUGAUACUCUGGAAGAGGGUCUUUGGGCUGGGCACAAUGCUAAAUGGUGGCGGCAGUGUCUUCCCCGUGUCGAAGUAGGACAGCCAUAGCUUAGAACGGGCAAAUUUCCACUCCACGUCUGCGUCGUCCUGUGAAAGCCCCCAAAACCCCAGCUCAGGUUUUGGGUGGUCUCUGUAUUACAUGACCACCACUUAUUGCUUUGAAAAGACUUAUCAUGCCUCUUGAUAAUGUCUGUCACACGUUCACUGAGAUUCACAUAAACUGACAAUCCCCAGUUACUCAUUACAUUACAAACUGAUACCAGAAUCGGGUACUGGGCAGAUACUGUGCGCAGAUAAGAUAAGAUAAUCCUUUGUUAGUCCCACAAGUGGGAAACUGCAUCAUCACGGCAGGGAGUGGACAGUAAAAGAUAAGAGCAGCGAAAAUUAAAAACAAUAGAAUAAAAACUAAGGAAGCUCAGAAAUGAGCAGAGCUGUCUUAAUAGACUGCCACUCGCUGGAGGCGCCAAUUCAAGAAUAUACUCAUACUCGUAAUAAUUCUCCGAUACUAAGAACCAAUACCACUUAAUUGCAACAUUAUAUUAAAAGUGAGAGCCGCAGCAUUUUGUCUUUUAUUUUUGCUGCCCAGUCAGAUGUUGGUACCUAGCAAGAGAUUUGUCAACCAUAUUGGUCUGGAUAUGCCAGGUUAGGUCAUAGUAAUUUUCAAUGGUAUAAAUACUGCCUUAAGUACUCGUAUAGGCAAGUACUUCUACUUGGUCUGAAAAAAAAUGGUAUCGGUGCAACCCUACCGACAACCACUCACCUCUAUCUCCUGAUAGGAACUGUUGAUCAUCGCAAUGAGCAUAUUCAGGAGAACAAUCACCAUGGUGACAUUAUAUAUCCCAUAAAGGACAUAGCCGAUGUUCUCUAUGAACUUGUGGUCAUACUUCAGCACCACUGACGACACCUCGGACAGCCCAAAAAUAGACCAGAAGAGAGUCUUGAAACUCUCCUCAACUCUGAAUCACAAGAGAGACAGAGGUUACAGAAAGGGGACACGUUUUAAGAGAAUACUGCAGUCUGUCUAUAUUUCCCGCAUGAUCCAUGUUUCCUUUCUGAAUAAAAGGCAUUGGCACAGGAAAUAGGCGUUGGAUUCUUGUAGCCUAGGCACCAGAUUUUAGUUUUCAUUCUUCAUUUUACAGACCCUAGAGAAGCAUACAAUUAAAAGGGUGUCUGCACACACUCACGUGGUAAAGGCAGAGUUGACCUUGGCCCCCAGGUAGUAGGAAUAAAGGAUGAACAUGCCGAACAUGAAGGCCAGGAAGACCAUGAUGAACAGGACCAUGAACUUGAAGAUGUCCUUGACGGUGCGGCCCAGGGAGAUCUGCAGAGGGCCGAAGCUCUCGUUGGCGGGCAGGAUGUAGGCGAUGCGGGAGAAGCUGAGCACCACCGCGAUGGCAUAUAGCCCCUCCGAGAUCAGCUGGGGGUCUGAGGGCACCCACUUGUCCCUUGCUGCAGAAAUGAGGUGACAUGUGCCUGAGGUAUGCUAACUGUGAAAAUGGCAGCAGUGCAUUGUGGGUAUGCGAGUAGAAACUGCCAUAUUAUGACAUCAUUGGAAAUUAUAUCUUAAACAUAAAAUUCAGUAUUAAAUUAUGUCUUUAUCCAUAUAGUUCUCUUUUUCAGAUGUGAACAGAACACACAAACAUGAGGAGUCAUAAAUAAUUGAAAAUACAUAGUAUAUUUUUGGAAAUUUACCAAGUCCCCCAAAAAGCCCUCAGCGCCGAGAAUUAGGAGCCCGUUUUACAGGGUACAAAGGGAACGGCCAUAUUGAACUGGCAAAUUUAGGGUUUGAGGUCUUUGUUUUUAACUGAAAAUAGUACACAUUCUAUUGCUUUUAAUGUAAGACUUUUUCUUAAAGUUAAGAGUUAUUAUAUAGUUAUAGUGCAAUGAUCCAGCAAUGGCUGGACCCAAUGACUGGAUUUAAUCAUGUUCAGUGUUGUUUACAGAGCAGAAGCCAGUGGUAAACACUUUACCAUAAGUGAAGUACUCAACAUCUGGUGGCAGAGUGACUAGGGAGAGGUCAUCAGCGUGGACCUUCUCGUUCACAUAACGCUGGGCCCUGCUGGCCUGCAAGAAGGCGAAGAGCCGUGCGGUAAAGGCGGCGAUGAAGAUGGAGAGCAUGCCGAAGUCCAGAACGUUCCACAGCUGCAGGAUGUACUCCCUGGGCCCCUCGCUCCACAGCUCCUUGCACUCUGACCACAUCAUUCCUGCAAAAGCAGCAGUCAGAUUGGUGGUCAGAGAGAGGGACCUGCAGCUGGUGUUAGCAGUGAAGCAGAAGCAGUGUCAGCAGUGAAGCAGGAGCAGCAGUCAGAUUGGGGGUCAGAGAGAGGGACCUGCAGCUGGUGUUAGCAGUGAAGCAGAAGCAGUGUCAGCAGUGAAGCAGGAGCAGCAGUCAGAUUGGGGGUUAGAGAGAGGGACCUGCAGCUGGUGCUAGCAGUGAAGCAGAAGCAGUGUCAGCAGUGAAGCAGGAGCAGCAGGCAGAAUGGGGGUCAGAGAGAAGGAACUGCAGCUGGUGUUAGCAGUGAAGCAGAAGCAGUGUCAGCAGUGAAGCAGGAGCAGCAGGCAGAUUGGGGGUCAGAGAGAAGGAACUGCAGCUGGUGUUAGCAGUGAAGCAGAAGCAGUGUCAGCAGUGAAGCAGAAGCAGCAGGCAGAAUGGGGGUCAGAGAGAAGGAACUGCAGCUGGUGUCAACAGUGAAGCAAAAUCAGCAGGUAGAAUGGGGGUCAGAUGGAUCUGUCCAUUAAUUGUAAUCAGGAGUGCUGUAAAGGGGGGGGAUAAGGAGGAUUCCAAGGGCCACUGAGUCCCAGGGGCCCUUUUAAAUCUGGAAGAUAAUUGGAUUGGAUUGGUCUGGGUGGGGAAGCUAAAAUCUCUAGUGGCACCCCUGCCUGUAAUUAUUAAAAUAAAUUAUGCAACCUUGUAAUCAAGAGCACUGACCAGCUCCUUUUUUAGCUUUAGUAAAGAAACAUCCAUUUACAGUAAUUAACAAAAGGUGCUAUUAGACUAUUACUAUUGUAACAAAAUGCUAAAAUCUUGAUUAUUUUUAAAUAUUUUAACUUUUUAACGGUUGCUAAAACCUCUAUGUAAAUUUAACACCCAAAUUUAAAAAAAUUAAUGAAUUCAGAGACCAGGUCUAUUUUGGGCCAUGUAGCGAUAGGUUAGGAAAGGUCAUGGGGGCAGAGUCGGAACCUCACAGCACGCUGUGAUCGAGCGAAAGGCAGCUUGAGGACUGCAGUCUGCGGCCCCCGCCCCCCCACCACUCUCUGCACUGCUCUUAAAAGCCUCGAGUGAUGAUCAGUGUUUGAUUUCGCUGUCAUGUUAAGUGGAUUUACACUCAGCGUGACACCAAUGAUUAUUGCCAAGCUCAGCAAUAGCUUCUCCCUGAAGCUGUCAGGACAUUAAAUAUCCUGUUUCUCAUCUUCCCCCCGACCUGUUCCUGAGAAAUACUGACACCCCCCCCCCCCCCCACCAAACUGGCACUAGUCGUACUUACUUAUUUUUAUGUAUUUUUGCUGCUGUAUCAAUUGUUUACAUAUACAUCGCACUGCGUAUAAAACCACCGGCUUAUUUAGCACUGUCUGUUGUUUUUGCAUUUUAAAUGAAAACCCUCCUCUUGUCAUUUCCUGUUUGCAUGUCACACCAUGGUCCAGAAGAAAUAAUAUUUUGUGCCACUGUGUAUAGAUGGCAAGACUGUAAAACCCACUUGAUGUGACGUAUAGCGUUAUCCUGUUUAAUCCUAAAAAGGAUAGAAAUGAACACUGAUAAUUCAAAGGGAUUACAACGUUUACAAAGAGCCAAGGUGAUCUAGGCUUAAUUGCAUCACCUGGACUGUCAAAACUGUCUUUCCGGAAGAAAUGACCUUGUCGCUGGAGUGUGAUGAAGUGCGCUGGCAGCUUCUCUGACAAGAUCCUCCGGUCCUGCUAAUAAACACCUACGAUGGUUGGUCUUUCACCCACAGGGACGCCAUACGUCACGUCGCCACGUGCCUGAAUUUGCCACAACGUCACACUAGAGCUACACUGCUAAAGUCUCCUGGAGCCUCAUGUGUUUCAGUCAUUCAUUUAAAUAAAAAAUUCUGAUACAUUGUCA